CAAUAGCGUAUAUUUAAGUUGCUGCAGUUAAAAAGCUCGUAGUUGGAUUUCGGGUGGGAAUGGCCGGUCCGCCGUUUCGGUGUGCACUUGCUACGCCCACCUUGCUGCCGGGGACGUGCUCUUGAGUUCACGCUCGGGACACGGAGUCGGCGAGGUUACUUUGAGUAAAUUAGAGUGUUCAAAGCAGGCCUACGCUCUGAAUACAUUAGCAUGGAAUAACACGAUAGGACUCUGGCCUAUCUUGUUGGUCUGUAGGACCGGAGUAAUGAUUAAGAGGGACAGUCGGGGGCAUUCGUAUUUCAUUGUCAGAGGUGAAAUUCUUGGAUUUACGGAAGACGAACUACUGCGAAAGCAUUUACCAAGGAUGUUUUCAUUAA
rnacentral:rRNA from 1 species